UACGUAGGAUGCGAGCGUUAUCCGGAUUUACUGGGCGUAAAGCGUCUGUAGGUGGUUUUGUGCGUUGGAUGCCAAAUCUCUGUGCUUAACGCAGAGCCGGUGUCCAAUACGGCAAAACUUGAGGGAACUAGAGGGUGAUGGAAUUCCCGGUGUAGCGGUGAAAUGCGUUGAUAUCGGGAGGAACGCCAAUGGCGAAGGCAGUCACCUGGGGUUUUCCUGACACUGAGAGACGAAAGCGUGGGGAGCAAACAGG
rnacentral:rRNA from 1 species